UACGAAGGGGGCUAGCGUUGCUCGGAAUCACUGGGCGUAAAGCGCACGUAGGCGGCUCUUUAAGUCAGGGGUGAAAUCCUGGAGCUCAACUCCAGAACUGCCUUUGAUACUGAGGGGCUUGAGUCCGGGAGAGGUGAGUGGAACUGCAAGUGUAGAGGUGAAAUUCGUAGAUAUUCGCAAGAACACCAGUGGCGAAGGCGGCUCACUGGCCCGGUACUGACGCUGAGGUGCGAAAGCGUGGGGAGCAAACAGG
rnacentral:rRNA from 1 species